rnacentral:rRNA from 1 species
GAUGAACGCUGGCGGCGUGCCUAACACAUGCAAGUCGAGCGGCAGCGCGGGGUGCUUGCACCCUGUCGGCGAGCGGCGGACGGCUGAGUAACGCGUGGGAACGUGCCCCAAAGUGAGGAAUAACUGCCCGAAAGGGUAGCUAAUACCGCAUAUUAUCUUCGGAUCAAAGGAUUUAUUCGCUUUGGGAGCGGCUCGCGUCGGAUUAGGUAGGUGGUGAGGUAAUGGCUCACCAAGCCGACGAUCCGUAGCUGGUCUGAGAGGAUGACCAGCCAGAAUGGAAAUGAGACACGGUCCAGAAUCCUACGGGAGGGAGGAGUGAGGAAUCUUCCACAAUGGGCGAAAGCCUGAUGGAGCAACGCCGCGUGCAGGACGAAGGCCGUCGGGUUGUAAACUGCUUUUAUAAGUGAGGAAUAUGACGGUAACUUAUGAAUAAGGAUCGGCUAACUACGUG